GUUAUGUAGGGUACCCGUGAAUAGGAAGUUAACUGUUGUCCCUUAACGGGCCCAGUAGUGGGUCCCUUACUGGGUAUAUUUUAUACUCACCCUUUCCCUUCUUUAACUUUUCAGGUAAGGGUACAGCGAGGGGUAGACCGACGAGGGGCAAGAAGGAUGCGUGAAGGCCAUAUGGACGCGUCUGGUUUUCUUUAUGCUUCCGCUGAUGUAUUUUGUUAGAAUAUUUGGUUUUGUGAUUUUGAGUUUGAUGACUUGAGUAUUGUAUUUGAAACUCUCGUGACUGUGAUUUAAAAUAGGGCCCGAAACUGCUUUUGUAAUAUUUCUAACGUUUUUAAUGAAUCGUAACCGGUCCGUUAUGUUUUUUUAUGUUCUGUGGUCGAGUCGUAGUAUUGAGUAGUGACCUCAGCUUAGUCCGGAAAGUUGGGUCGUUACAGAACUGCUCACUUUCACCGUCGUACGUCCCUCUUUCGAUCGUCGUCGAGUGAAGCAGAGAAUACUAGCCGUUCGCGUGUGCGCCAGCUACAAACGAGCAAGUUGAGCCGUACCCGAGCCGCGAAUCCAAGCCGAGCCUAAGCUAAACCAAGCCAAUUCAUGAGCCGCGAGCUGAGCCGAGCCGAGCCAAGCCAAGCCGUGAGCCUAGACAAUUUGAGCUGAGCCGCGAGCCGAGCUGUUUUUCAACGCCAAUCUCCUGGUUCACUGAGCCGCGUAAGCCCUUCUAUCCGUGGCGAGUCCUGAUGAGUUUUGGUGUUAGCGAGGUGACGCUCGAGUUCAGGGGUGUUACGGCAAGUGUAGUUGGAACAACUCUCCUCUAUUUGAGUGGAUUCGUUUGGACGUCAAAUUGAACAAGGAAUUUAGCUACAAUUAAGGUAAGUGUAUGGCGAAGGGCAGACCGGCGAGGGGCAAGAAGGAUGCGUGAAGGCCAUAUGGACACGUAUGAUUUUCUUUAUCCUUCCGCUGAUGUAUUUUGUUACUUUUUAUUUUUCAUUUGUCAGAUGGAG